GCUCAUGAGGCGUCGGCGGCUGUAAAGGACCAGGCCUCGGCAUCCAGCGUCUGGGGGCGCUGGGGGAUCGAGGCGCGAAGCUUGUCUGUGGCUGGGAAAGACCGGCAAUGCCCCACCAGGCCGUCCCAUUAACCCUGCCGAGGGACCUGCCGCGUCAGACUUCAUCGGGGAAAAGGGCGGGACACGGGCGGUCCCGGGUGCCUAGAAGCCUCCUUUUCGUCUUUCCGCCGUGGUGGAAUCAUCCGCAAGGUUUACCGAGGCGACCUCCGGAGCGAAGGUUUCAGCAGCUACCGGAGGCUUCCAGCAAACACGGCGCAGCUGCCCCGCGCGGCAGUCGCAGUGUUCACAGCCCUAGGGUUCUCCAGCUGUGCCUCGUCUUCUCUGGGGCCCCUUUCUUCCUUUUCCUUGCCCUCAGGAAUUCCCCUCAAGUCAUAUCCACCAGCCAUCACUUCCGCUUGGAAUGAACCACGGCCAAGUCACUCACCAAAAAUUAUAAGGAGGAAACCAUUUCGGCCACUUGUGUCACGUGCGUUGAUGUGACACGUGUGGAUGUGAAGUUUGAGAUGGUCUGCGUCACAACUCGUUGGAGGGAGUGGGUGGGUUGAGGCCUCCUGCAAGGUCUAUGUGAGGGUGUGGAGUACUAAUUAGAGUUAAAGAGCUCGGCAGCUGUUUGGUCACUGGCACUGGCCUCCACUGAGAGGGACAUGGGUAGGGAGGACACGUCUUUUGCAAGGAAAGACAGUAAACUGAGAUUUGGAGCCCAGGGAAAGGUAUCUAACUUAUCCUAGGAGAAAAAGAAAACGGCUAUGAAAUUCUCUAAUUUUUCCUGACUUGCUUAUAUGAGAGCCUAAGAUUUUUCAGGUUUGAAGGAAAAGAAUAAGCACUCCUAGACAAAACAACAAAGUAGUAGUGGGGGACUGGCCAAAUGUCCAGUCUGUGUGCAUUGUGGUCAAUCUUAUCCAACUAAAACAGACCAAAAUGACAGUAAGCCCAAAUCCUGCAAAUAGAGCUCCCCAUUCCUAACCCCCUAGGCCUGGAUUACAGUGAAGGGACUAAGUCCUACCGCAUGCUGGAGACUCCAACACAUCUCUGUAAGAGUGGGAAGAAUCUUGGCAACUGUGAAAACAGUAGAGACAUUUUGAAAAGUGUUACCUGAAUGUCUAAAUGCAAACAGAGGUUUGGGAUUGGCAGAGAGAUGUACUGAGAGGCCCAGCACUCCUGAGCAGUAUAGCCGGGCUUCCAGGGAGGCCUACAGCCCUGAAACUGGGAGGAGCUCUUUAUUUCUUGACCUUUUAUCUUUUCUUUUUAGAGAUGAGGUCUCACGGUGUUGCCCAGGCUGCUCUCAAACUCCUGGGCUCAAGAGAUCCUCCCCAGUAGCUGGGACUUCAGGUGUGCCCCACGACACCUGGCUUGGGAGGACCUCUUUAGUGAUUACCUGUCCAGUUUGCCAGCUGACAACAGCAUCUGUUAGACCCUGUAUACUUGACUUAAAAGAGAAGCUUGACUGAAAAAUGUCACUUUCACAUCCCC
rnacentral:lncRNA from 1 species